GCGGGCGUGGCGGAAUGGCAGACGCGCUGGAUUUAGGUUCCAGUGCCUUCGCGGCGUAUGAGUUCAAGUCUCUUCGCCCGCACCA
rnacentral:tRNA from 1 species